GUGAAAAGUCGACUUGGUGGGCUAAUAUAUAAUGGUAUACAACAAAACAUAUAUAAAUCCACAACUUCAGUGGGGGGCCGGAUUAUAGCGGUACAUGCAGUAAGCAAAAAAUUAAAGUUUUAAAUAGCAAGCUAUGCCAUUUAGCAGCAGCGGCAUCUCGACCAAAAGCUAUGAAAAUCUAUAGUAGAGCUAUAUGGAAGCUAAGAACCAUCUUGCAUUUUUCUAGAAUCUCUAAAAUUGAAAAAAAGCAUAAAAUCAGGCAUCAUAUAUUAUACAUCACAUAUACUUGAUAUACACAUAUUCAUACAUAAAAAAAACCAUCCGAAUUGAAAAACUAAGUUUUGCAUCAAUGCAUCAUAUAAAUAUAGCAAAACAAGGAGGAGUAAGACAGAUGGAUGGCUUUAUGGAACCGACGUGCGUCCCUCCUCGGGCAGCAGCGGCUUAAGGUCGCUAAAUGACUCUAAAACUAGUGUUAUAGUGGCAUUUAGCAAGCUAAUAGCAUAAUUUUAGUUUAGUGUUAAAGUGUAUAGCUUUAAAGGGGGAGGGAUGACCAAAGUAUAUAGCAACACUGUAGUAGGCUAUUAAAAUUUGGCCAAAAUAGGUUACAACUCUAUGUUUAGAUAAUUCUGGUAGUAAUUCAAAUUAUACACAAAACAAGGGCAUGCCAACCAUAGUAUUUUCUAACAGUUCAACACAUGAAGCGACAAAUAAGGUUAGAAAUUUUAGCUCGUGAAUAAGGAAUGAUGAAUAUGUUGUGCAAUUUUCUUUACAAUUCAAAAAGAAUAGUUGUUAAGGAUAACUAACAUAGUAUAGUUAAGAAAUAAACUUGCUAACAUGGGACAUAAUUUCUAGAUAUUCAACUUAUUUCAAGCUAUUAGAUUAUUUGGGUGGCUAAGAAUAUUUAUAUCAAGGAAAUAUUUAUAUUGGUACAGUAACUUCUAUAUUAGAAAUUUAAUAUCAAACACAAUCAUCGGUAAAUCUAGGCAUCUAGGUGCGUUAGUUUAGAACUUCAGAUAUAUCUUAACAUAAGUGUUGCAUCUAGAGUAUAUGUCGCUUCUUUAUUGGUACCGACAUUUUUCUAAGUUCGUUCUUCUAUACAAAGCAUUUUUCUAAGUGUGUUCUUCUAUAGAAAUCGUAUUAAGCAAUCAAGGAACUGAUAGUAUAUGAGUUCAUCACCGCUGUUUGUAUGGUAUGCUAAGGACAUGGUCGGUGACUACAUUAAGAUUCGUGGUAGGACUGCAAUUGAGUGCUUCAAAAAGUUCGUGCAAGGGAUGAUUGAAAUCUUUGGUGGAGAUUAAUUGUGAAGCCUUAACAAUGAAGAUUUUAAGUCCUAUUUCACAUCAACAAGGCCAUGCGUUUCUUGACAUGUUAUUAAGUCUUGAAUGUAUGCAUUGGCAUUGGGGAAAACGUCACGUUGCAUGGUUAGGUCAAUCUCAUUUGGGAUAAAUGGUGCUACAACACAGGAUCUUCAGAUAUGUCAUUCACUAUUUCGCUAUUUUCUAGUCAAAGUUGUUCAUUAAGCUCUUAUGUGAGUUUAGAUGCGUGUAUUGGUUCUCAAAUAUUGCAAAUACUAGCAAUAUACAUUGCAACAAAUGUUUUGUCCAGCAUAUAAAAUGCAUCUCUUGGAAAUGGAAUGCUACUAUAUCUGGAACUCCCAGCCUUUUGGUUUAGUUUGCGCAAUUUUAAUAAGAAAAUGCAUGAUAGUCAUUAUUUUUUUGUAACAAAACAUUGAAGAAAAUAAGGUCAUAAAUUAUAGGCCUUUACUAAGAACAAUGAUUUGGUUGUACAAUUUUUCCUCGUGAUUUGAGAAGAUGAGUUGUAAAUGAUAGUUAAUAUGGCCAGAUAUUUGACUUAUUCUUAAGCCAUUAUAUUAGAUCCGAUGGCUAGGUUUAAUCAUAUAGUAAAAUAAACUAAUUGUUUCAAAGUAUAUAGUACUCACUAUCAACGUAAUGACCGACAAAUCUAGCCGUGUUAGUUUAGGUGUAGCUUAACAAAAAAAAAGGUUACACUCGCAGUAGGUAUGUAAUAAUCACUUUGCCCGAAAAUUCAAUUCGGUGUCCAGGCUCAUCUACACCCGAUGAAUAGUAAAAAUCUUAAAAAAUACCAAAAAAAAUCCAAAUGUUUUGUGGUGCAAGAUCCUCAAAUGCAUGAUGUUCGUGCAAAAUUUUAGCUUGUUUGGACAUUUGAGAAGCUCAUGGCAAUAAAGACAAAAUAUAGUGUGAAUAGUGUUGAUUUCAAAACUUCCUCACACACCCAAAUUUUGUCUUUUUUGCCACAA
rnacentral:rRNA from 1 species